rnacentral:rRNA from 1 species
UACGUAGGGGGCAAGCGUUGUCCGGAUUUAUUGGGCGUAAAGAGCGUGUAGGCGGCUAGAUAGGUCCGUUGUGAAAACUCGAGGCUUAACCUCGAGCUGUCGGCGGAAACCAUCUGGCUAGAGUCCGGAAGAGGAGAAUGGAAUUCCCGGUGUAGCGGUGAAAUGCGCAGAUAUCGGGAAGAACACCCGUGGCGAAGGCGGUUCUCUGGGACGGUACUGACGCUGAGACGCGAAAGCGUGGGGAGCGAACAGG